UUGCUAACCCCGGGUGAGCCUUAAGUCUGCGCCUUGGGCUCGGGUCUCGUAGGCGCCAGCCAGCAACCUUCAGAUGCUUGGGCCUCCGUUUGGCAAACGUUCUGCGCCAGAGGAGGACGGCGCGAGGGGGCCCCAGGAGCCCAGGGUCUGGCGGAGGAGGGCCGGGCGCGGCGGACGUAGAGCAAGGCAGCUUUGCGGAACAGUGAGGACAGGAGGACAGGAAUCCCCAAGAUGAGUACUCGAAUUCCUUCCAGUUUUGCUGCAAAGGAGAGCAGAGAAGAGGCCAUAACCAAGGGGAGACGCUCACGCUCACGCUCAGCAUGCCAGAUGCUCCCUGGACACUGCAGGAGGGAAGUCUGCCGGCAGAGGAGGGAGCCGCACCACUGGUGUCACGUAACUGGCAGGAUCCCAGGCUCUUCUUUUCCUCCCAGAGCAGCAGGACAGGAGGGCAAGCUGGGGCCGGGGGCCUGGCUGGCUGAAGGGCAGGAUAGAGGGACCACAAGUGGGAGGGGACAGAUGGAAGCCAGGGACAUUGUCUGGGCUACAGAGAUGGAACACGGUGCUGGCAGCAUUCCCACCUCCUUGGGAGACAUCGCAAGUGGACGGGAAGCCAGUGGCCCAACCUGUGUCCCCCCACUGAGAACACUGGAGACACCAAGGCAGAGCUG
rnacentral:lncRNA from 1 species